rnacentral:rRNA from 1 species
UCCUGGUGGCGAGUGGCGAACGGGUGAGUAAUACAUCGGAACGUGUCCUGUAGUGGGGGAUAGCCCGGCGAAAGCCGGAUUAAUACCGCAUACGCUCUACGGAGGAAAGGGGGGGAUCUUAGGACCUCUCGCUACAGGGGCGGCCGAUGGCAGAUUAGCUAGUUGGUGGGGUAAAGGCCUACCAAGGCGACGAUCUGUAGCUGGUCUGAGAGGACGACCAGCCACACUGGGACUGAGACACGGCCCAGACUCCUACGGGAGGCAGCAGUGGGGAAUUUUGGACAAUGGGCGCAAGCCUGAUCCAGCAAUGCCGCGUGUGUGAAGAAGGCCUUCGGGUUGUAAAGCACUUUUGUCCGGAAAGAAAACUUCCUGGUUAAUACCCGGGGAGGAUGACGGUACCGGAAGAAUAAGCACCGGCUAACUACGUGCCAGCAGCCGCGGUAAUACGUAGGGUGCAAGCGUUAAUCGGAAUUACUGGGCGUAAAGCGUGCGCAGGCGGUCCGCUAAGACAGAUGUGAAAUCCCCGGGCUUAACCUGGGAACUGCAUUUGUGACUGGCGGGCUAGAGUAUGGCAGAGGGGGGUAGAAUUCCACGUGUAGCAGUGAAAUGCGUAGAGAUGUGGAGGAAUACCGAUGGCGAAGGCAGCCCCCUGGGCCAAUACUGACGCUCAUGCACGA